rnacentral:rRNA from 1 species
GUCGGAAUUGCUAGUAAUGGCAGGUCAGCAUACUGCCGUGAAUACGUUCCCGGGCCUUGUACACACCGCCCGUCACACCAUGAGAGUUGGGAAUACCCGAAGCCUGUGAGCCAACAAACGAGGCAGCAGUCGAAGGUAGAAUCAAUGAUUGGGGUGAAGUCGUAACAAGGUAUC